rnacentral:hammerhead_ribozyme from 1 species
GUUCAGCCGACGAGUUCCAAGUAGGACGAAAUGUGCGUCCUGGAU